CGCGCAGUGCGGUGCUCGGCGGGCGCCGUUCCGCGGGGCCGGCCCGGCCGUGCGGGGCCGCCGCGGUGCCCGGGAGCGGCUUGGAAGCGCCAGGCGCGGGUCCCGGCCGCGGCAGCGGCGGGCGAGGGUUGUGGUGACAAUGGAGGAGGGCGGCUGUUGCUGUGGCUGCAGCGAGGUUGAAGGAGCACUCGUGAGAAGUUUCCCAUUUGGAAUUGGGCUCCUGAAGAAAGGAACCUGAAACUGCUGUUUCUGAUAAAUCCGUCCCCGAGGCGGCUUCGGAUCUCCGCGGUCACCGACGCUGCCGAUUUUCCCGGCGCGCGCCGUUCGACGUCGAGGAGCGGCAUCCAGAAGCUGUGUCGGAGCAUCUUCCUGGCUGGAAUGUUUUGAGUAAGGGCUGCAGUCAGGGUGUAAGCUGAAGGGUGUGUGACUGUGUGUGUGUGUGACUGUGUCUGUCUGCCUGCGAGAAGAGUGCGGGUGUGGAAUGGUUCUGACCUUGUGUGUGGGAGUUUUGCCUUUCAGGCUUUUCAGCACUUUUUAAACUUAGAGUAAAAACAACCCAGCUGCGCUGGCUGGGGAUUUUUUCCCUCCUCACUGGACUUUUUUUAUCUGGGACCCGGCCGGUCUGUGAGGUGCCGUUCAUCGCCAGGGUUUGGGUGCCGACCGUGCCGGGGAUUUGUCAGGCGGGAUGAUUUUGGGGCUCCCGGGAACCGCGUUCCCAUGGGGUGCUCUCGAGACGAGAGCGAGGGUGGGUUUGUGUGUCAGCUGAAGGAGGUGUGUGGUGGAUGAGUGUUUUCUUCUCCGUGUGCUGCUGUUGUUUUGGGUUUCCUGGAACAAUAAAAUGUCCUAAAUUUUCCAGAAAUAGAACAAUUGUUACAUUGUACUGAUAGGGGGUUGGCUUGUGUUGCUCUGUGUUCGUGUUUGCUGCUGCACUUGCACAUAUUGCUCUGUAUGUCAGUUGGACUUUGACCAGUGUGCAUAUGGAUUGUACUUGUGCUUGUGUACAUUGUUGUUUCCACUUGCUUUGCUGAAGUGUAAAUAAAAAACCCUCGUUCAAUCAAGCUGAAUAAACCCUAAUAAAGAUA